rnacentral:misc_RNA from 1 species
UAAUGUCAUUCUAAUGACAAACCUAAUAAAUAUGGCGACAAGUGUGUUUAUUUCUCAUGAGGCCAUAUUUUGAAAUUGAUUAUUACAAAAAACUGUGUUCAAUAUGACAUCACUUAUAGAGAAGAUAGAAAAGUUAAUCAAAAGGGAAAAAACAACACCAGAGCAAAAGAAAGAUGAUUCCACGAAGACAUCAAGUGAGAUUCUAUCCGAGUUGUUCAGUGCAUUCAAUGCGGCGCCGCCUAAAAUCGACGAGGUUUCUAUAAAAAAGAAAAAGAGCAAGAAGAAACACAAGAAAAAGGAUAAGAAAAGGAAUCGAAGUAGCAGCACCAGUAGUGAAUCCGACAAUAGCGAGUAUUCACACAAACGUAAAAAGAGGAAAAAGAGCAAGUUAAAAAAACGUAAACACAGCCGCUCACCUUCGUCUAAACGGUCCCUUACACCUGUUCUAACCAAACCUAACUUGGAUCUAAUUAAGUUAAAGUAUAAAACAGAACACAUUCAGUCCGAGGAUGUUAAAAACAUCGUAAAAUUGGAGCCGAAAGAGGAAGAUGUACCCAUAAAAUUAGAGGACUCGAUAUACGGUAUUAAGGAAGAAAAUAUUGACGCUAGUUUGAUACCUAUGCCCGAUUCACCUAAAGAACUAACAGGCACUGAUACAAAGGCUACAGCAGAAUUGAAAAAAGACUUGCCCACAGACAAUGACAAGUCUAAAGGCAAAAUUCAAAUUAAGAAUUUGAAAUUUAGUGCUAUAUUUGAGGAAACAGUUAAAAAGGCUGAAGAAGAGGCUAGAAAAAGAGCAGAGAAAUAUGAGGAAGGGGAAUACACAGAUUCCUCUACGGGUUCUAUCAAAAUGGUAUCAAAUUCACAGUUCCCUAAAACAUCAGACCCUGGAGGUAUACUUAAACAACAGGCCGCUGAAGAAAGCAAAAUGUUGGAAGAAAUUAAGAACAGCCCAAGAAAAGGCUCUCACAAGUCAUCACGCAAAGAGAGAUCUAGAAGCAAAUCCCGCCGAUCGAGAUCUCCAUCGACGUCGAAGAAACGUCGGCACAGGUCGAAAUCUCCGCAGAAGUCAAAAUCACGCCAUCGGUCAAAAUCUCGUCACAGGUCAAGAUCUCGACAUAGAUCAAGGUCACGGAGAAGGUCUAACUCAACAUCGAGGCACAGAUCGCGACAUUAUUCUCCAAGACAUAGAAGUAGGAGGUCUAGAUCUCCAAGUGGAGUAAAACUAGCAGACAGUGAGAAGAAACGUCUUUUAGAGGUGGCUCGCAGGAAUGCGAUCAACAUGCUCAAGAACGGCGCGGUGCCGGCCGGCGCUGCUGCGUUACCGCCGCACACUAGGAACCAAGUCAUGGCAGCUAUUCAGUCUGGAGGCAAAUCAGUAGACGAAUUGACAGAUUUCUGCAAGCACUUGUCAAAGAAAGAAGCGCUUGGUGAACUGUCAUCCGUCUCCUCCAAUGAUGAUGAUAUGAGCGAGAACGAGGACACACUUGCAUUCCACCAUCCAUUCUUAGUCAAGGAAAAGGCACCUAUAGUCAUGAAUAUCAGGGGUGGCGCCCCAUUGCCAGUUAAAUCUACCGCAGUGGCUGUGGUGAACAAGGAAGAGUUACGGAUACAAUUCCCUGUCUCCUCUGGGUCACAGCACAGGGAGAAAGCAUCCGAGUGGGUGCCCGUGUCACCGCCCAAGAAAGAUAUGCAAAUUGCAAAGCUGAAUUCUAAAACUCCAACUUCAACAAAGCCUGCAAUUACUGAGACUGUAAAGCCUCCGUCGGGCCCGCUGGCCCUGCCGGCGCCGCCGCCCGCCGCCGCGCCCGCCGCCGCGCCCGCCUACAUAAAGAACUUUACUUCAGGAACGCAGUUGACAUCCGUGCCAGCGCUGCCGGCCCCCGGUCCACAGGCGUAUCCCCCGGGCGUAGAUCCACCUGCCAUUGACAUGGCAUCGAUCGUGUCGCAGAAAUUGUCCAUGAUUCGCAGAGCACAAGAGGAAAAUGAAUUAACCGCAACACAUGGGUUUGGCUGGUCAAAGGAUUCUACGCUAGGUCAGUUCACAGGCACCACUGGUGCACAGAUACUGACGCCUAAGGAGCUCGCCAGCGGCACACAGGCAUGGGCCAAAAAGCUGAGAGCGUCGUGGGUCGGGACCACGCUGUUUGCGCCGCUGCGGUCAGAACUUAUAAUACACAUGUAUUAUGUUUUCUGACCUUGUUUUGUCAUUAUAGUGAUAGUUGUAACAACAUUUAAUUCCCUUGACUAUUCACUAAAUUAGUGCCUUGUUAUAUAUGGUAUGCACUCUUUAAAUUUUUUCAUAACACUCUGUAAAAAAGUUGUAAAUUAAAUAUAUAAUACUUAUUUAUUCUAACAGGUACGUAUUUAUAUAAAUAACUGACGUCAUUAUAUUUUAGUAUCCUAUUCAUAGUUUUUAUUUGGAUUCCAAUAUUAAUACAUGUAAUUAAUUUACCAUUAUUCUAACACUGAAUUCGUUUUCUAUAGCAUGAUCAACUAUUAUGGUAGAUAUAAGUAUAAUGUACAAGUAUAUGAAGUCAUAUUUACCUAUACAAUAUUAAUAUAUACAUAUCUAUGUUAUUAAUUAAUUUAAACAAAUAACGUCAUACCACAAAUUCGAUGAAAAUUAAAAAUAAAAUAAAGCGUAAUGUGAAAACUUAUUCAAAAAUUGUUUUUGAUGAGCAAUUUACAAUUACGUUCAUAUGCUGUAACCACACAUUUCAUAUAAUGCAUAACGGACUCAUAAAUAAAUAUUGAUUUAACGAAAAAAUAUCGUAUUAUCCUGAAAAAAGUAAUCUCAAAAAUGUUACUAAGCAACAUAAAAUGUUUCAGUUUUGAAAUUUGUUUUUCUAAAUGUUACACUUGCUGUUGUCGAAAUUCAUAUAUUUGCUCACCAUACACACACAUAUUCCGAAAACCACAUGUAAACUAUUUGUAAAAUAUGUAUUAUGUUUCCCUAAGUAUUUAAUAAUGCCUAUUUCGUAUGCCAGUAUGAAUCUCAAAUGUUGCUACAACCAUCAUAGAAUUCCAUUCAAUUCGUGCCGUGUAAAGGGAGAACUGUUGAGUUCGCUCAUUACACUCUGUUUGUCACAAAGUUUACAAUGUAAUGAUAAUUGUCGUGCCAUACACACAGUGGCAUGUCAAUCAUCAUUACUUUAUAUUGCUAACAAAUAUUCAGUUUUCCCCUUUCUUUACGACUGACAAUUUGUUGAUUUAUUAAGUUUAAAAUAUUUAUGCCUUCAUUGGCCCACCAAUUUAUAUGCAAUGAAAAAAAAACAAUUUGCAACAAAAUUUAGUUGCCUUAUGCACUCUCUAUACGUGAAUUAAUUUGAAAUAAAAAUGUAAAUAAGAAAUUCAUUUCAAUAUUUGUCCAAGUUCAUACUGCAACUUUUAACAAUAAAAAAUAAGUCAGUCCCGCAAACAAAGCCAGCCUAGUGAUUCUUUGAGCUGUUUAAAACGCAGUUAUAUUUUCUUUUAUUGAGUGUUUUGCUCGGCUCAUAGAAAAUCAUGGCUGCUACGGGGAAUUCAUGAAUAUUUGUUGCAGCCUCUAAGUGAUAAGGAGAAGCGCUACGUUAGACGCGCCACAGUACACGGAUGACGAUAGGUGCAAACGUUAUGUACCGAAACUAAUGAGGAUCAACUCCAACGCGCGGCACCUGUUGAGGGCGGCAUGGGUAUGCACCUACUGCAGAAAAUGGGUUGGACCCCAGGCCAGGGUCUGGGUAAGGAAGGCACGGGCACGCUGCAGCCGUUACUGCUCGAAGUGAAGCUGGACACCAGAGGUCUACAGGCCAAAGAAGAGGUCAGUAGCCGCUACCGCACAGGA